rnacentral:rRNA from 1 species
UACGUAGGGGGCAAGCGUUGUCCGGAAUUAUUGGGCGUAAAGAGCGUGUAGGCGGUCCGGUAAGUCGGCUGUGAAAGUCCAGGGCUCAACCCUGGGAUGCCGGUCGAUACUGCCGGACUAGAGUUCGGAAGAGGCGAGUGGAAUUCCCGGUGUAGCGGUGAAAUGCGCAGAUAUCGGGAAGAACACCCGUGGCGAAGGCGGCUCUCUGGGACGGUACUGACGCGUGAGACGGCGAAAGCGUGGGGAGCGAACAGG